GAAACCCGGAUGCGGGAAAACCGCACGUCUGGUUUGAUGAGCGUUGCGCCUUGAAAGCGCGUUGAACUCUGC
rnacentral:autocatalytically_spliced_intron from 1 species